rnacentral:rRNA from 1 species
GAUGAACGCUGGCGGCGUGCCUAAUACAUGCAAGUCGAGCGAACGGACGAGAAGCUUGCUUCUCUGAUGUUAGCGGCGGACGGGUGAGUAACACGUGGAUAACCUACCUAUAAGACUGGGAUAACUUCGGGAAACCGGAGCUAAUACCGGAUAAUAUUUUGAACCGCAUGGUUCAAAAGUGAAAGACGGUCUUGCUGUCACUUAUAGAUGGAUCCGCGCUGCAUUAGCUAGUUGGUAAGGUAACGGCUUACCAAGGCAACGAUGCAUAGCCGACCUGAGAGGGUGAUCGGCCACACUGGAACUGAGACACGGUCCAGACUCCUACGGGAGGCAGCAGUAGGGAAUCUUCCGCAAUGGGCGAAAGCCUGACGGAGCAACGCCGCGUGAGUGAUGAAGGUCUUCGGAUCAUAAAACUCUGUUAUUAGGGAAGAACAUAUGUGUAAGUAACUGUGCACAUCUUGACGGUACCUAAUCAGAAAGUCACGGCUAACUACGUG